rnacentral:rRNA from 1 species
CAGCAGCCGCGGUAAAACGGAGGAUGCGAGCGUUAUCCGGAUUUAUUGGGUUUAAAGGGUGCGUAGGCGGCCUGUUAAGUCAGCGGUGAAAUCUAGGAGCUUAACUCCUAAAUUGCCAUUGAUACUGGCGGGCUUGAGUGUAGAUGAGGUAGGCGGAAUGCGUGGUGUAGCGGUGGAAUGCAUAGAUAUCACGCAGAACUCCGAUUGCGAAGGCAGCUUACUAAGGUACAACUGACGCUGAAGCACGAAAGCGUGGGUAUCAAACAGGAUUAGAUACCCCCGUAGUCCCUGUCUCUUAUAU